AACGUAGGAGACAACCGUUAUCCGGAGUUACUGGGCGUAAAGGGCGUGUAGGUGGUAUCGUAAGUCUGGCGUGAAAUUUCUCGGCUUAACCGAGGCAGGUCGUCGGAUACUGCGAGGCUAGAGGACGGUAGAGGCGUGUGGAAUUCCGGGUGUAGUGGUGAAAUGCGUAGAGAUCCGGAGGAACACCAGUGGCGAAGGCGACACGCUGGGCCGUACCUGACACUGAUGCGCGACAGCAUGGGGAGCAAACAGG
rnacentral:rRNA from 1 species